UCUCGCAUUUCCCAAAACGCCAUAAAAGUAUUCAUUUAUUUUUCCUGAGCUUCCCUCCCUUUCCUCUUUCUCAUCGAUAUCACUAAAGCUACACCAUCAAAGUUUCGCUUCCUCUAGAUGCUAUGGAAGGAA